rnacentral:rRNA from 1 species
CCUACGGGCGGCUGCAGUGGGGAAUAUUGGACAAUGGGGGCAACCCUGAUCCAGCCAUGCCGCGUGUGUGAAGAAGGCCCUCGGGUUGUAAAGCACUUUCAGUGAGGAAGAACGCCUGGUGGUUAAUACCCAUCAGGAAAGACAUCACUCACAGAAGAAGCACCGGCUAACUCCGUGCCAGCAGCCGCGGUAAUACGGAGGGUGCGAGCGUUAAUCGGAAUUACUGGGCGUAAAGCGCGCGUAGGUGGCUUGAUAAGCCGGUUGUGAAGCCCCGGGCUCAACCUGGGAACGGCAUCCGGAACUGUCAAGCUAGAGUGCAGGAGAGGAAGGUAGAAUUCCCGGUGUAGCGGUGAAAUGCGUAGAGAUCGGGAGGAAUACCAGUGGCGAAGGCGGCCUUCUGGACUGACACUGACACUGAGGUGCGAAAGCGUGGGUAGCAAACAGGAUUAGAUACCCGUGUAGUC